AUACAGUUGUCAGUCAGCACUGUGUUCAUGCUUUGUUUUGUCUCAUUUGGUAGUACUGUUCCUUGCCAAGAUGGC
rnacentral:lncRNA from 1 species